rnacentral:rRNA from 1 species
AACGAACGCUGGCGGCAGGCUUAACACAUGCAAGUCGAGCGGAGAUGAGGUGCUUGCACCUUAUCUUAGCGGCGGACGGGUGAGUAAUGCUUAGGAAUCUGCCUAUUAGUGGGGGACAACAUUCCGAAAGGAAUGCUAAUACCGCAUACGCCCUACGGGGGAAAGCAGGGGAUCUUCGGACCUUGCGCUAAUAGAUGAGCCUAAGACGGAUUAGCUAGUUGGUGGGGUAAAGGCCUAACAAGGCGACGAUCUGUAGCGGGUCUGAGAGGAUGAUCCGCCACACUGGGACUGAGACACGGCCCAGACUCCUACGGGAGGCAGCAGUGGGGAAUAUUGGACAAUGGGCGGAAGCCUGAUCCAGCCAUGCCGCGUGUGUGAAGAAGGCCUUUUGGUUGUAAAGCACUUUAAGCGAGGAGGAGGCUACUUAGAUUAAUACUCUAGGAUAGUGGACGUUACUCGCAGAAUAAGCACCGGCUAACUCUGUGCCAGCCGCCGCAGUAAUAC